rnacentral:tRNA from 1 species
ACUAGUGUGGCUCAGUGGAAAGAGCACUGAUUUAGGAGUCAGAGGUCAUGGGUUCUAAUCCCAGCUCCGCUA